AGUGUCCAGCACCAGAGGGGGAGUACAGGGACCCCCUGGACCACCCGGACCCCCAGGACCUCAGGGACAACCAGGAACGUCGGGCUCAGACACCAGGAUCAGCAUCCGUCAGGCCGUGAUGGAGACCCUGCAGAGUGACAGAGUGCGGGGGGCGUUGUCAGGCCCCCCAGGUCCCCCAGGUCCCCCUGGCCGUACGGGACCCCAGGGCGAGCGAGGAAGCCUGGACCGGCUGCAGUAUUCGGACAUCUCCACCAGAGUCAUCGACUACCUGAGGAAUUCGGGGUCUGGGUUCGUGGAC